ensembl:misc_RNA 7SK 7SK RNA
GGCUGUGAGGGCGAUCUGGCUGCGACACCUGUCACCCCAUUGAUCGCCAGGGUUGAUUCCGCUGAUCUGGCUGGCCCGGGCGGGUGUCCCCUUCCUCCCUCACCGCUCCUCGUACGUCCCUCCUGAAGCUGCGCAAUUGGUCGAAGAGGACGGCCUUUCCCGAAUAGAGACAGACCCGUCUUGGGUCAAGGGUACACUCCCCUGUUAGAACCUCCAAACAAGCUCUGAAAUAGAGGAGAGGGGGGAAGAAUAAAAUGAAAGACACCUGCAGCACUGCU